rnacentral:rRNA from 1 species
GUCCUCUUGUGUGUUUAGGAGGUCAGACCUGCCCGGUGAAUAAAUUUUAACGGCCGCGGUAUUUUGACCGUGCAAAGGUAGCAUAAUCAUUAGUCUUUUAAUAGAGGGCUGGAAUGAAAGGUUUAACGAAACAUUAACUGUCUCAUUUAUAUAAUUUAAAAUUUAAUUUUUAAGUUAAAAAGCUUAAAUUUUGUUGUAGGACGAGAAGACCCUAUAGAGUUUUAUAAUAAAAAUAUUAAUAGAAGGAUUGAUUAAUGAUUUAUAUUAAUAUUUUUAUUAUUUUGUUGGGGUGACAAAAAUAUAUAAUUAACUUUUUUAUUUUAUAAACAUAAAUUUAUGAUUAUUUGAUCCAUUUUUAUUGAUUAUUAGAUUAAAUUACCUUAGGGAUAACAGCGUAAUCUUUUUUUGGAGUUCAAAUUUACAAAAAGGCUUGCGACCUCGAUGUUGGAUUAAGAUUAUAAUUUGGUGCAGUAGCUAAAUUAAUAGGUCUGUUCGACCUUUAAAUUCUUACAUGAUCUGAGUUCAGACCGG